UACGGGGGGGGCAAGCGUUGUUCGGAAUUACUGGGCGUAAAGGGCUCGUAGGUGGCCAACUAAGUCAGACGUGAAAUCCCCAGGCUCAACUUGGGAACUGCGUCUGAUACUGGAUGGCUUGAAUUCGGGAGAGGGAUGCAGAAUUCCAGGUGUAGCGGUGAAAUGCGUAGAUAUCUGGAGGAAUACCGGUGGCGAAGGCGGCAUCCUGGACCGAGAUUGACACUGAUGAGCGAAAGCUAGGGGAGCGAACGGG
rnacentral:rRNA from 1 species